AAACGGGUGGAUCCGCAAAGUCGGCCCACGGAAUUCAGCUCGGCGAGCGGCCUGGGACAGCUGCGGUUCGGGAUCCCUGGGACCCGUCCGCUGGCGUCGUGCCGGGCUCCGCCGAGUGCACUUUCCGUGGGCAGAGCGCCACAACCGGUUUCGCGGGCGGCGAGAAGCCGGGCGGGAAGGUAGGUCUGGGCGGAAACGUUCAGACUGUUACAGCCCGCUCAGGCGCGCCGCUCCGGGAUCGAGGGACUACCGUUCGCUUCGAGGCUACCCGGCCUUCCGGGGGAGUUCGACUGGGAGAGACUGGGCAACCGUKCUUCCGACCGCUCUCCCGCGACUGGUCCGGGGUAGCCGGGCGAGCUGGCUGGGUUG
rnacentral:rRNA from 1 species